UCAAAAGGCCUUGAUGAGUGCAAUCAGUUUU
rnacentral:piRNA from 1 species